GAUGAACGCUGGCGGCGUGCCUAAUACAAGCAAGUCGAGCGAACGGACGAGAAGCUUGCUUUUCUGAUGUUAGAGGCGGACGGGUGAGUAACACGUGGAUAACCUACCUAUAAGACUGGGAUAACUUCGGGAAACCGGAGCUAAUACCGGAUAAUAUUUUGAACCGCAUGGUUCAAAAGUGAAAGACGGUCUUGCUGUCGCUUAUAGAUGGAUCCGCGCUGCAUUAGCUAGUUGGUAAGGUAACGGCUUACCAAGGCAACGAUGCAUAGCCGACCUGAGAGGGUGAUCGGCCACACUGGAACUGAGACACGGUCCAGACUCCUACGGGAGGCAGCAGUAGGGAAUCUUCCGCAAUGGGCGAAAGCCUGACGGAGCAACGCCGCGUGAGUGAUGAAGGUCUUCGGAUCGUAAAACUCUGUUAUUAGGGAAGAACAUAUGUGUAAGUAACUGUGCACAUCUUGACGGUACCUAAUCAGAAAGCCACGGCUAACUACGUG
rnacentral:rRNA from 1 species